CCCUUGGAGCAGAGCCCGACCCCCACCUGGCUCCCCCCUCCUGUCAGGGAUUUGGGGAGGAUGAGAAGGUCCCCUCUGAUCCUCAUUUUCUCCAGGCUGAGCCCCCCCAGCCUGCUCAGCUGCUUCUUGUAGGACUUACCAUCUAGAGCCUUCCUCAGCCUCAUGGACACACUCCAGUGUAAUUGUGUGCCCACAAUCUUCAGGGAUCCAGCCCUAGAGAGGGAAUUGGGGUAUUCACGGAUGGCUGAGGAAGGGCCAGCAUGGGGUGGCCUGGUUUGCUGGACCUUUCAUUGCCUGAUCAGCGGGGGAGCAGCAGCAUCCUUGAGGGGCUGGUUUCACUUCAGCAGCCUCGUGGGGAGCACGGCUGGGACAUUCUGGCAGUGGGAUUCAGCACGAUCAGGCCUGGGAGGUGAGGGUGGAUAACAGCGAUGAAAAGGAGAUGCAACUCCUUGGAGAUCAGACCAGGCUGAACACCAGGCUGGGGUUCAGUGGAUUGGUCGGGGACAUCAUGCAUGUGGUACCUUCAGGGCGUGAGGGCUGAGGGGGUCCCUCACCGUGAGGGCUGAGAGGUCUGUCAGGGUGUGAGGGCUGAGGGGGUCCAUCAGGGUGUGUGAGGGCUGAGGGGGUCCCUCAGUUUGAGGGCUGAGGGGGUCCAUCAGGGUGUGUGAGGGCUGGAGGGGUCCCUGGUGGUUUGUGAGGGCUGAGCGGGUCCCUCUCCCCACACCGGAGCCGUUUUACCUGCCCAUAGAGGAGCUCUGGCGAAGAUGCCCGUGACAGAACAUCACCUGUAGCAACACGGAAUGUCCGCACCAUCGAGAGGAGCCGCUUGGUGUCACUCCUCCAUCGUUAGAGCUGUGUGGAGCGGAGGGAACACGGGCACCGUGUUCGCGGUCGGUGUCUCCUGUGGCUGCAUUGCUGGAGGCAGCUACUGCACACCUGAGUUUGGAACCACCUUCAGCUCUGCUUCCCGUGGCUGCAGGAUGCAUUUCAGUGCCCAUCACCAUAUUAUCCAGGCGCCACCGUAAGAUUAAGGAGCUCUGCAGUGACAUUCUCAAUGUGGUCUGUUCAAGGGUCAUUAGCAGAACCUUUCACACUGGAAAAGACUGGAGGAGAGCACGGAAGUGACCGCCAAGGAGAGGAAAAGGAGCAGGAGGCAGCAGGCUGGUGGAGCCAUUUUGGUUGUGCUCACACCGUGUGCUUUGCUCGGCUGAGCUGGAGCCCAGGGACCUCGGGGCAGCUCCUUUGUGCUGCUGCAGGGGUUGUUGGACACUCCUGUCGUCUCAGAGCGCUGGCCCACAUGGCCUCAAGAUUGCUGCCCCUGUGCCAUUGCCAUGCUGGGGCUUUAUGACUUCUGUAUCUUCCAGCCUCAGAGCAGGAUACUCCUCUCACAAAUCCCAAGCAGAGAGCAAGCCCCCCAACUCAGGAACCACCUUCUCCAAGUGAAUAUAUUAGUUAAAGUUUCCUUUUUCUCAUUGUGUGCAAAUCCUCCCAACUGUUUGUGUUUGAAGAAGGCAAAAAAGGGUGUUUUACUGUGUACACAAAGCUACAGAGGACCCACAGAAUCAGGAGAGGUGAUUUUACCCCAGGGGGCCCUGUCCUGCUCCCCCUGAAGCUGGUUGCUGCCAUAUCUCCAAGGACAGCCUGGGAACUCGUGUUCCAGAGGGGUGGCACUGCCUGGACCCUGCUGCUCCCGUUUCAAGGAGC